GCAGUGGUAAUUCAGUGGUAGAAUUCUUGCCUUACAUGCGGGAGACCUGGGUUUAAUUCCUGGCCAAAACU
rnacentral:tRNA from 1 species